UACAUGGGGUGCAAACGUUGCUCGGAAUUAUUGGGCGUAAAGCGCGCGUAGGCGGUUACUCAAGUCGGAUGUGAAAGCCCUCGGCUUAACUGAGGAAGUGCACCCGAAACUGAGUAGCUAGAGUACUAAAGAGGGUCGCGGAAUUCCCGGUGUAGAGGUGAAAUUCGUAGAUAUCGGGAGGAACACCGGUGGCGAAGGCGGCGACCUGGGUAGAUACUGACGCUGAGGCGCGAAAGCAUGGGGAGCAAACAGG
rnacentral:rRNA from 1 species